rnacentral:rRNA from 2 species
AGAGUUUGAUCCUGGCUCAGGACGAACGCUGGCGGCGUGCCUAAUACAUGCAAGUCGAACGCUUCUUUUCCCACCGGAGCUUGCUCCACCGGGAAAAGAGGAGUGGCGAACGGGUGAGUAACACGUGGGUAACCUGCCCAUCAGAAGGGGAUAACACUUGGAAACAGGUGCUAAUACCGUAUAACAAUCGAAACCGCAUGGUUUCGUUUUGAAAGGCGCUUUACGGUGCCGCUGAUGGAUGGACCCGCGGUGCAUUAGCUAGUUGGUGAGGUAACGGCUCACCAAGGCCACGAUGCAUAGCCGACCUGAGAGGGUGAUCGGCCACAUUGGGACUGAGACACGGCCCAAACUCCUACGGGAGGCAGCAGUAGGGAAUCUUCGGCAAUGGACGAAAGUCUGACCGAGCAACGCCGCGUGAGUGAAGAAGGUUUUCGGAUCGUAAAACUCUGUUGUUAGAGAAGAACAAGGGUGAGAGUAACUGUUCACCCCUUGACGGUAUCUAACCAGAAAGCCACGGCUAACUACGUGCCAGCAGCCGCGGUAAUACGUAGGUGGCAAGCGUUGUCCGGAUUUAUUGGGCGUAAAGCGAGCGCAGGCGGUUUCUUAAGUCUGAUGUGAAAGCCCCCGGCUCAACCGGGGAGGGUCAUUGGAAACUGGGAGACUUGAGUGCAGAAGAGGAGAGUGGAAUUCCAUGUGUAGCGGUGAAAUGCGUAGAUAUAUGGAGGAACACCAGUGGCGAAGGCGGCUCUCUGGUCUGUAACUGACGCUGAGGCUCGAAAGCGUGGGGAGCAAACAGGAUUAGAUACCCUGGUAGUCCACGCCGUAAACGAUGAGUGCUAAGUGUUGGAGGGUUUCCGCCCUUCAGUGCUGCAGCUAACGCAUUAAGCACUCCGCCUGGGGAGUACGACCGCAAGGUUGAAACUCAAAGGAAUUGACGGGGGCCCGCACAAGCGGUGGAGCAUGUGGUUUAAUUCGAAGCAACGCGAAGAACCUUACCAGGUCUUGACAUCCUUUGACCACUCUAGAGAUAGAGCUUCCCCUUCGGGGGCAAAGUGACAGGUGGUGCAUGGUUGUCGUCAGCUCGUGUCGUGAGAUGUUGGGUUAAGUCCCGCAACGAGCGCAACCCUUAUUGUUAGUUGCCAUCAUUUAGUUGGGCACUCUAGCAAGACUGCCGGUGACAAACCGGAGGAAGGUGGGGAUGACGUCAAAUCAUCAUGCCCCUUAUGACCUGGGCUACACACGUGCUACAAUGGGAAGUACAACGAGUCGCGAAGUCGCGAGGCUAAGCUAAUCUCUUAAAGCUUCUCUCAGUUCGGAUUGUAGGCUGCAACUCGCCUACAUGAAGCCGGAAUCGCUAGUAAUCGCGGAUCAGCACGCCGCGGUGAAUACGUUCCCGGGCCUUGUACACACCGCCCGUCACACCACGAGAGUUUGUAACACCCGAAGUCGGUGAGGUAACCUUUUUGGAGCCAGCCGCCUAAGGUGGGAUAGAUGAUUGGGGUGAAGUCGUAACAAGGUAACC